AUCCAGCUGACGAGUGCAAAACAGGACGAAAUGCACUUCCUGGAU
rfam:Schistosoma mansoni strain Puerto Rico chromosome 1, complete genome